GGCGGCUUAGCUCAGUCGGUUAGAGCAACGGAAUCAUAAUCCGUGUGUCCCCAGUUCGAAUCUGGGAGCCGCUA
rnacentral:tRNA from 1 species